AUUGAACGCUGGCGGCAGGCCUAACACAUGCAAGUCGAGCGGAUGAAGGGAGCUUGCUCCUGGAUUCAGCGGCGGACGGGUGAGUAAUGCCUAGGAAUCUGCCUGGUAGUGGGGGAUAACGUCCGGAAACGGGCGCUAUUCCCGCAUCCGUCCUGAGGGGGAAAGUGGGGGAUCUUCGGCCCUCCCGCUAUCAGUUAAGCCUAGGUCGGAUUAGCUAGUUGGUGGGGUAAAGGCCUACCAAGGCGACGAUCCGUAACUGGUCUGAGAGGAUGAUCAGUCACACUGGAACUGAGACACGGUCCAGACUCCUACGGGAGGCAGCAGUGGGGAAUAUUGGACAAUGGGCGAAAGCCUGAUCCAGCCAUGCCGCGUGUGUGAAGAAGGUCUUCGGAUUGUAAAGCACUUUAAGUUGGGAGGAAGGGCAGUAAGUUAAUACCUUGCUGUUUUGACGUUACCAACAGAAUAAGCACCGGCUAACUUCGUG
rnacentral:rRNA from 1 species